UGCUGUUCUUGGAGUAGCUCUGAGUUUGUAAAAUGGGUGCAAGAGCAGACGUGAUUGCUAAGAAUAUAGCAAUGACCUCUAUGUAAAAUUUAUAGGCCUGGAACACACUGUGCAGAGGCUUUUGAUCAAGAUCUUUGAAAGUAUUGCAUGCAUACACUUCAAGUAAAAAAUCACCCUAAUUAUUUUAUUCUUCACGCAAAGGAUCUUUGUGAGUAAUUGGAAACUCUUUAAUGAGCUUUGAUUUAUAACACUGUUUUUAAUUUGAAACUUUAGAUUAUCAUAAUCCUAGUGGUUGUCAAAAUAAGGACUAUGAUUGAUCUAGCAUAAAUGCCAAGUUCGUGCCAUUUCCAGGUGUGACAGAGAGGAGGGUGUGGAAAGCAGUAUUUGCUGAGCGCUGCCUGUGUGCCAGGCUCUCUGCUUGGGACGCUUUACUGUCACCUCAAAACAGCCCUGAAAGGCCUCUGUAUUUUAUCAGUGCGAAAAACUAAUGUUUAGAAAGUUUACACAGUUCUGCACCUGGUAAAAGCUAGAGCCCCAGAUCCAUUUCCUGGUCUAUCCUUUCUCACCACUGUUCUACACUGCCACUGAGCUGACGAGCCAGCCAGGUGAGGGCUUCUCAGAGGAAGCCAUGUUGGAGCUGUGCCCCAGAACCUGAGUAAGGGGACUCCAGUUGAAUGAGGAGAGGAAGGGCAUUUCAGGCAAAAGAAAGGAGGUAUGGGAGAGUGUGACAGCCACAGAGAACUAAAAAUAGCUGCCCAGGCCUAGAACACAGUGUGUGUUUAUGAGGCUUGUAGGAGAGAGCCAGUCGUGAAGGUAGGGGAUCCCACAGGGCCACCAAUGCCAGGUGAUGCCAGGUGCUGCCACACACCUGUAGGAACUGGAAUGACUUCUCCCCAAAUUACCAGUGACCAAAGAAAGUAACUGUUGAUUUAUCAGAGAAAGCAAGGGUGGGAUAACAAAUUUUUCCUGAGAUGACUUCUUAGCUUCUUGCCAACUUUUCAGCUCUGAUUCCUCAUAGUCAACAUUCCACAAAUGUUACUGACAUCGUCCACUUGGCCCAGAGAAUGGAAAAGACACUAAAGAAUGGAAAAGAUUCUUGCCUUCUAGAGGCUGGUGGCAUCAUUUCAUGUACAUCUGAAUCCAUCUUCCUUAACCAAAGUUGUAGAAGAAAGGCACUUUAAUAAAUCUGAUAAAAUUGACUAUGAAAAUAAUUUAAUGAAUUUGAAUAAAUAGACUCCAUGAAAAUAGACUGCAGAUCUUGCUAGUGUAUUAUUGAACCACUAAUACCCAGCACAUAGUAGUUUCCUAAACAACUCUCUUUAACAAACAGAAUUUGAAAACUCCUACAAAAUUGCUAAAAAAUGUUUUGGUCUUUCAUAAGAUUUAUAAAUUUUUCCAUAUAUAUUAAUAUACUCAGAAACCUUUUCUUGUACAGUAGUUUUAAAAUGUGCUCUUCAAGGAAGUGAAGGCAGGGGAUAUUCCAAGGAAGGUAUACAUAUCACAAAAAUAUUUGUAUUAGCUGAUAACUGUACCAGGUCAUUUUGUCAAUUGCCAUUAACAUGGCAAUAGUUUGUUUGACUUUUAAAACUGUCUGCUAUAUUGGGAUGUCACUAUAAUUGUGAUGUUUUAGCAUAAUGCUUUUCUUUAUCUUCUUUUUAUUGAUCUUUAAGUUUUAUAUAUAUUUUAACUAGUAAUAAUUUUAUAAUGAUCUGAGGCUCUUAAAAAAGGGUUCAUUUUUUCUACUGAG
ensembl:lncRNA